rnacentral:rRNA from 1 species
AUUGAACGCUGGCGGCAGGCCUAACACAUGCAAGUCGAGCGGAUGAAGGGAGCUUGCUCCUGGAUUCAGCGGCGGACGGGUGAGUAAUGCCUAGGAAUCUGCCUGGUAGUGGGGGACAACGUUUCGAAAGGAACGCUAAUACCGCAUACGUCCUACGGGAGAAAGCAGGGGACCUUCGGGCCUUGCGCUAUCAGAUGAGCCUAGGUCGGAUUAGCUAGUUGGUGAGGUAAUGGCUCACCAAGGCGACGAUCCGUAACUGGUCUGAGAGGAUGAUCAGUCAAACUGGAACUGAGACGCGGUCCAGACUCCUACGGGAGGCAGCAGUGGGGAAUAUUGGAAAAUGGGCGAAAGCCUGAUCCAGCCAUGCCGCGUGUGUGAAGAAGGUCUUCGGAUUGUAAAGCACUUUAAGUUGGGAGGAAGGGUUGUAGAUUAAUACUCUGCAAUUUUGACGUUACCGACAGAAUAAGCACCGGCUAACUCUGUGCCAGCCGCCGCAGUAAUAC